AGAGGAUCAACGUUCUUUGUUGAUGAUUAUUGUGAUCUCGUUCGUGGAGAAACUGGCUUUGCUUAAUUCAAUUUCAGUUAUUAAAUAAGAACUUGCGCGAUGACAUGCGCUUCUAGAGCUCUUAUCCUUACAAAUUUUGAGGUCAAAACCCUGAAGGUAUAUUUCGCACCAGCAUUCAAAACUUGCAUGAGAUAUUCGCUCAUCUCUGACUUUCGCUUAGUUUUAUAUGAGUUUCGACGCUCUCUCGAGGAUCAGUUCCCUAUCGUAUCCCAAUUCAUUUUGUCAAAGUGUCUUAAGUGACGUAACACAUAAAUAAAUAUUUAUUUGGAAAUUCUCGAAGUAUUUUUGGUAAGAUAGCCUAUAGGAACUACGACCAAACGAAUUUGGAUAUGAUAAGAUACAAUAGAGAAUCGAUCUCUAGAAAGUUCAUAGAUGGGCCGUGAUUUAUACCGCGAUGCGGUUCCUCUUCAUUUUUUUCCUGUUAUUCAUAAAACAUUGUGGCUUGGUUCAUAGUUCCUUCUUAAACAUGAUAAGUAUGCUCCCAUUAUUUUGUAAAUCAAUCAUAAGAU
rnacentral:lncRNA from 1 species